UGCCUUACACAUGCAAGUCGAACGGCAGCACGGGUGCUUGCACCUGGUGGCGAGUGGCGAACGGGUGAGUAAUACAUCGGAACAUGUCCUGUAGUGGGGGAUAGCCCGGCGAAAGCCGGAUUAAUACCGCAUACGAUCUACGGAUGAAAGCGGGGGACCUUCGGGCCUCGCGCUAUAGGGUUGGCCGAUGGCUGAUUAGCUAGUUGGUGGGGUAAAGGCCUACCAAGGCGACGAUCAGUAGCUGGUCUGAGAGGACGACCAGCCACACUGGGACUGAGACACGGCCCAGACUCCUACGGGAGGCAGCAGUGGGGAAUUUUGGACAAUGGGCGAAAGCCUGAUCCAGCAAUGCCGCGUGUGUGAAGAAGGCCUUCGGGUUGUAAAGCACUUUUGUCCGGAAAGAAAUCCUUGACUCUAAUACAGUCGGGGGAUGACGGUACCGGAAGAAUAAGCACCGGCAAACUACGUGCCAGCAGCCGCGGGUAAUACAAAA
rnacentral:rRNA from 1 species